rnacentral:tRNA from 1 species
GGAAUAUAGCUCAAUGGCAGAGCGUCCGGCUGUUAACCGGCAGGCUGCAGGUUCAAGUCCUGCUAUUCCC